GAAGCUGUUUUGGCGGAUGAGAGAAGAUUUUCAGCCUGAUACAGAUUAAAUCAGAACGCAGAAGCGGUCUGAUAAAACAGAAUUUGCCUGGCGGCAGU
rnacentral:rRNA from 1 species